UAUGAGAAUAUGAGUGACUGACAUGAGCCUAGCGUAACGAGCGCAGUGAGCGUAGCCCAAGGCAGCGUAGCGGUACUUCUUGGUUGUGCUCUGUGGAAUAACAGAACUUACCCUUUGUUCAACAGUGGUUACUGACGCUGUGGUGCGCCUCGCUUUGCAAUGAAGUCGUUCCUAAAUCGCUUGUACAAGAAGAUCAAGUGGUAUUACUUCAUGUACGAUCUCCACACGUCCCUCUACAUGUUGGAGUCUUGGGAGAAGAGGGUAUUCAAUAUCGGGCUUGUAGCCGUUGUCGCCAUGUCAAGCUACACGACCUACGUCUUCUUGCCUCGUUACACACAGAAUGUGCUCCGUUACUUUGGGGUAGUUGAGUAGGCAACUGCACGGUGACCGACGUCGUGAAGAUGAAGUAAACUGCCUUGCCGCGUCUGCCCUCCUUUUCAAGUCGCCCGGAAGCCCAAAGAGUGCCUUGGAUUCCCGUUACUCCUGGCUGUUUGAUGCUUCCUCAAGAAGACCUUGUACAGUUCACGCUUGUAUUACUCGAGGAAUUAAAAUAGCGACGAAGAGACAGCGCUCUGUCGCAGUAAUCGACAUCGUGACCACCACUAAAUUUUGUAUUUGGGUCUCGUGAAGCAGCUAACAAAAUCAAUGCACGGUGUUCAUUUAUGUUCAUGCGUUUCGGUUUUGUGUAAUGUUUUUAAAUCUGGCAUGCAAAUUCUGGAGCAAAUUAACCAGUAGUCAUAAUGCUAUGCUCACAUCAGUCUGGUUUAAUUUAUGGCAUGAAAGAACUCUUGGUUUAAACAUUGUUUUAUUUAGUUGCGCUUCACAUCAUAUUAAUCGAUCAACUAUCUUGUCAGCUUGACAAUGUUUGUGCAGUAACACAGUCAUACUUCCAAGUUAACUGUUACACCAUUAAUGACUGCCAGUGUGGCUGGUGCUUUGCAUGCAUAUGUAUCAUACCUUGGUUGUUGUGCUAGUUGGUGCACGCAAACCAUGUGACCCUUCUUAUUUUUGUCUCGCAUGUGCCACACUUCUUAAAUUGUCAAUGUAGCCUUGGUUUAUUGUGUUAUAGAGGUGACUUCAUACUGGAAAUGAUAUGUGCGCUUAGGCGUCGCAAAACCACAUAAGUUACUCAGAUAAGCACAUUAAUAUAUGUCAAGUGUACCUUUGUAAUGCUGAAGGCUGCUAGAGUUCAUGAAAAUGUUCUCCUAAAAGCAACAUUUUAAUGGAGAAAUAAAAUUGUUUUUGUCUUUGUAUUUGAAAAAGGUAUAUCUCCAUAGUUUCUCAUGAGUAACAAUAGGGCUAUUUUUUUUUACCUACACUUCAUGCCGACAAAAACGACGUACAGCACGAAGGAAAAGGACUGGGAGAGACGACAAACAGCGCAGUGUUCGUCGUCUCUCUCAGUCCUUCUCCUUCGUGCUGUACGUCAUUUUUACCAUGAAUUACCAACUAGCCCAAGCAGCCAAAAGACUAACCUUCACUAACGAGUUGCCUUCCCAACAUACUCUUUCUUUGACGAUGCUGCUGGUGCUUUUUUUUUUUCAUACGAGAGUUUGUAGCCUAAUCACUGAGCACAUUCAAGUCAUAGAUGUUGUAGUUGUU